CAUAUAUUCUCCCUGGCUCUUGACAUGAACACAAGCCCAGUCUCGAGAUUGAACAGUGAGCCGUCCCCCAACGUCCUCUACCCAAAUCUUUGGCUAAACUCAUGGAACAAAUAGUUUUCAUUGCUUCUCUUGAGAUUUUUAGAGGAACGGUCAUUUUCUGAAAAUGAUGUGACUCUUGUCUCUUUCUUUCCAGUAUGUUAGCUUGUUUUGUAUCCAUGUCUAGAACCUGCAGAGUAAAGUUCUAUGACAGGUGAACAGUUGAACAGACCUCACUGCGAUUUCCUCCUGGGAGCCCGGAGGCUGGUGUGUGUUGGGGGAGAAAAAGAGACUCUCCCAAUUCCAUUUGUCUAGUUUAUAGGUGGCAUGUGAGGAUCGCGGUGCAAACCCAACGAGUCCAGAAAUGCAGCCCAGUGGACAGAAUGCAGCUUCCUUCCCCUGCUUUCCAGAGCUCAUCGAAUGGUGCUGUCAUGCCAGCAUUGAUUGUGAACAGAUUUCAGGUACUUCACCUCCAUGACCCCCUCGGAUCAGCGUGACAAUCACUAUUCCCAUUGGAGAGAUAACGGGACUCACAGGGAUAGCAGGAUUUUCUCCAAUAGAGCAGCUAUCGCUUAGUCAACCCUGUUAAUUUAGAAAUAAACUCUUCUUGCUCUCUCCUUCA
rnacentral:lncRNA from 1 species